rnacentral:rRNA from 1 species
GACGAACGCUGGCGGCGUGCUUAACACAUGCAAGUCGAACGGAAAGGCCCUGCUUUUGUGCCGUGCUCGUGUGGCGAACGGGUGUGUAACACGUGAGUAACCUGCCCUUGACUUUGUGAUAACUUUAGGAGACUCCGGCUCAUACCGGAUAGGAGCUCCUGCUGCACGUUGUGGGUUGGAAAGAUUCGGCUUUUGUGGCUGUACUCGCGGCUUAUCAGCUUGUUUGGGAGGUAGUGGCUUACCCAGGCUACGACGGGUAGCCGGCCUGACAGGCUGGUAGGCGACAUGGGAGCUGAGACACGGACCAUGGUCCUACGGGAGGCAGCAGUAGGGAAUGUUACGCAAUGGGCGAAAGCAUGACGGAGCAACGCCGCGUGAGUGAUGAAGGUCUUCGGAGCGUAAAACUGUGUUAUGAGUGAAGAACAGAUGUGGAAUGAAACGUGCACGGCGUGACGGUACCGAAUCAGAAAGCAACGGCUAACUACGUG